CGCCACACAAAUCCACUAUGGUCCG
rnacentral:siRNA from 1 species